rnacentral:tRNA from 1 species
GAGGGUAUAGCUCAGUGGUAGAGUGCAUGCCUAGCAUGCACAAGGUCCUGGGUUCAGUCCCCAGUACCACCU